UAUAUUUCCCCCCUGCUGAAGAAGUGCAUUAUAUUUCAAACUGGAAAGCACAUGGAUUUGUUUAAAAGCUAGCGAAACGGUUAGCAUAAGUUCGGCAGAACAAUGUGGAUGUUACAAGGUAAGAAGCACGAUUUAAAACAAAUUUCUUGUUUCCCACUUCUCUUACCUGGACGGUAGGCUAAUGUUGCAAGGUUGGUUUUCCGCCUGGGGACGCUAGGGGGAGCGGGGAAAGUCACCAUUUUCACCGGAACAGCUCAGCUGCUGUUCUCCUGAAUGUGACGUGUUGCCACUGACUGUCAGAAAGUCAGACUACAGUUAUGGAAUUUGAUGACCUCCAAGUGGCCUUCAGAGGCUGCCACAUGCAGGGCUGACCUCCCGUCAUAAUCCACCGCAUUCAUGUCUGCCCCAGACAGGAAGUACCUGUGGCAGUUUGGAAAGAACAGCUUGUGGAUCACAGUGGAGGUUUUCAGUUGAGCUUUUUUUGUAGUCUCAUCUAGCCAGAGGUUUCAGCAGACAACAAUAUAUAAGAUAACAGAAUGUAGUCUCAUCUAGCCAGAGGUUUCAUCAGACAACAAUAUAUAAGAUAACAGAAUGUAGUCUCAUCUAGCCAGAGGUUUCAUCAGACAACAAUAUAUAAGAUAACAAAAUUUAAACCGUAGGGGAGAACGGGGUAAGU